CGCGACUUCCAAUCCGACCUGGUACACAGCAUAUGCAACCUUCUUCUUCUCAACCCCUCUGAAGUAGUUAGCAAUAGGAUUCUGUAUCCCUUCUCUCUCNAACCUUCUUGUUCUCAACCCCUCUGAAGUAGUUAGCAAUAGGAUUCUGUAUCCCUUCUCUCUCUGAAUGAUUGUCUGCUCACCCGGUGUAAGGAGUACUCUGGAAGUUCUUGAUGGCUGGGGCAUAUCAGGAAGCGGGAAACACGUUCCAGUACACCUAAAAAUUGAACUCAUACAGAUUGUCUGUAGAUCUCGCUGCUCAAUUUAGGUGGACAACAAUAUCCCUGGUUGUAGUCAAUUAAAUGGUCAUAAGGUAAUUUCACGUAAGAUUUAGGAGUUAUAAUAAUUACCAGAAAUUUACAAUUAGGUAUAUGCCCGAACUAUGUCAUUGGUAAAAGGUCCAAAAUGUCACAAAUCCUUCGCGUUUAAGUGGACCACAAUACUGGCAAUCGGUCAGACGAAGAUGUGAAAAUAAGGGUACCGACAAGUAGAAUAAGGCCGUCCAAUAACUUUGAUCCAAGCAUCACAAAAGAAGUGGUAGUUAAAGUAUUUCUUAAUUUAUUUGACGUUGAUUUUUUAUUUUUAUUUUUAUUUUUAUUUCUAAUUUUUAAUUUUAAUUUUACUUUUAAUUUUAUUUUUAUUUAAUUUUUCAACUUAAAAUUUUAUAUUAAUUUUAUUUUACUUUUAUUUUAAAAAGUUUUUAUUAAAUUAAUCCUCAAAAGGUUUUAUUUUUAUUAAUUGGCGAAAAAUUAGAAAGACUGGGUAGCUAUCAGGCAGGAGGGUAAGAAAAAGGGAAAGGUAAAAAGGUAAAAAGGGGAGUUCUCGGCCGGAAUCUCCCCACUCAACAGUUUCCGGCCGCAAACCUCUUCCAAAAGGCUCUCAAGGUGUCGAAAAAUU
rnacentral:lncRNA from 1 species